AAAAAGGCGUUUGAAAAAAAGGACCAGUAACUAUUACCUGGAAAAAUCAGAGAGCUGUCGGUUGGUGCGAGACAGUCAAAAGGAAUAGCGAACUCCCCUUUUAGUCUUGAGGAUGAAUGAAAAGUAAUUCUCAACGGGUCAUACUCGUUAAAAAUGCGAAAGUGAGCAAAAGCUAUUUUUGCUAAUUUGGGUGGUACCGCGGGAAUCAAUUCAAACUCUCGUCCCUGAC
rnacentral:ncRNA from 1 species